GUGGCUGCAGAGAGCAGAGUUGACAAACAGUGAGUCAGGUGGCCCGGGGCGUGGGUGCUCCGCCCUCAGGUGCACUGCGUCCUGGCGGCAGUGCGGGCCUGCGAGGCUACCCAAAGCCCUGGGGGCUUUUUCCUACAAAUGCUGGGGACCGUGCGAUAGCUGGGGCGUAGCUGCUUCCACUGUCCUACCAAAUCCUGAAUAUCGUCCACCUCCUUUGCAUGCCAUUCACCGCCAACCAAAAUCCAGCGCCAAUUUACCCCUCCAGCUGCAUCCCCGACCGUUUCACCACCAUACUUAAAACCCUUUGGACUCCCACUGACCUACAGUGGCUCCAGGGUUAAGCCCAGAAGUUCUGGAAUCAGACCUGGAGCUUGCAUUCUUUACCAGCUGUGUGGAUUUGGACAAAUUAAUUAACCUCUCUGAGUCUGUGAUCACUCAGUUUCAUCUGCAAACCAGGGUUCCCCUGUCAACAUCUCAUUGAAGUCAUGGGUCUGGUUUGAGGUCACGAGGCCAAUUCAAGAGGCACAGUUCUCCAAGGAUGGAAGAUGGGGGUGGAGAAGGCAACAAAGAUGGAUGAGCUGGGGCCAUGAUGAUGAGGAUGAUGAUGUUGAUGAUGAUGAUGGUGAUGGCGGCCGAGUGCCCUGUGAUUUACAGGCCCAUCUGGUUUCAUGUUUGCAACAGCCAAUCAAGUGGGUACCAGGUGCCAUCAUUCCCACUUUACAGAUGAGAAGACUGAGCCCCAGACAGGUUAAGUGACUCCCCCAGCCCUGCAAUGAGGAAGGGCCCAGCACAGCUCCAGGCACAACAAGCAGGCACUCCAAGCAUAGGGAGGUCUGGUGGACCAGGCCUGGCCCAGGAGCUUGUCGGCAAGGCAGAGCCGCAUCCAGGCUCCCGGACCAGGAUCCGCACACGAACAACAGGCCCAGGAGUUCCCAUGGCUGUGGCUGCUGGACCCCCGCACCAGGUGGGCUGGCGGCUGUGUCCCACACAUGCUCUCUAGAGCCUGAGAAAUGCUCAUCCUGCAGGUGAUUUGGGGGGUGUCUGCUCCCACCUUCACUGCUCUCAGACCAAAUUUCUGCUUCCUGACAGAAUUUGUAGGAUCCUCCCUCUGUCCUCUUAGCCAAGGAGGGGAGAAGCUCUCUCCCUCCCUCACCAUGGGGGAGGUCACCAGUGGGUGGAUUUCAUGACCCACAUACCUCCCAGGGCUGGCAUGCGGGGUCCAGCAGUCCCAGCCACAACUAUGUCAUCCCGCUUCCUUUCCUCUCACGGUGAAGGAGGCGGAAGAGAGGUUGUUGCUCCCACCUUUUGGAUGGGGAAACUGAGGCUUAGAGAGCAGAAGCAGCUUGCCCAGGGCCUGGCAGCACCAGUCCCGCCUACGACCCACCGCCCUUUCCCCCGCUCCACUCUUACCUCCUCCCCCAGGUUUCUGGGUCUGGGUUUAUCUCUUUAUCUGGGUCUGCACCCACAGCUGCCCCAUUAGAUCAAACAGGGCUUGGCUUCCAGGAACGCCGGGUGCCUUGGCAUUGCUGGCCUGGCUGGCAGCUGCUGGCUGGUGAGCCCCAGCUGAGGCUGUCUCCUCUCCCCAGGCACUCCCCAGGCCUUUAGAGAGGACAUUCUCCCACUCUCUUUUAUGGAAAGCCAUGGAAUCUUCUGUGUGGAUGCAGCCUGGGCAGUCAGAGAGGGGCCUGGCCCUCACGUGGCCGCAGCUGACCCCUCCCCGCCGCAGCUCUCCAGUCUCCUCUGCGACGUGACAGCCCUGGCUUCUCUGCUGUGGGGAGGAGAGUAUUUUUAGUUUUGAACCCACCACGUGAAGCGAGACAAGUUAUCAAUAGCAGCAGCAAAGGGCUUUUUCUUUCUCUCUCUCUUUUUUUUUUUUCCCAUGUCUUUGGGACCUGAACAAUCUGCACCCAUUAAAUUCUGCCAAAA
rnacentral:lncRNA from 1 species